AAAAAGAACCUGAAACCGUGUACGUACAAGCAGUGGGAGCACAGGUUUACCUGUGUGACUGCGUACCUUUUGUAUAAUGGGUCAGCGACUUAUAUUCUGUAGCAAGGUUAACCGAAUAGGGGAGCCGUAGGGAAACCGAGUCUUAACCGGGCGUUAAGUUGCAGGGUAUAGACCCGAAACCCGGUGAUCUAGCCAUGGGCAGGUUGAAGGUUGGGUAACACUAACUGGAGGACCGAACCGACUAAUGUUGAAAAAUUAGCGGAUGACCUGUGGCUGGGGGUGAAAGGCCAAUCAAACCGGGAGAUAGCUGGUUCUCCCCGAAAGCUAUUUAGGUAGCGCCUCGUGAAUUCAUCUCCGGGGGUAGAGCACUGUUUCGGCUAGGGGGCCAUCCCGGCUUACCAACCCGAUGCAAACUGCGAAUACCGGAGAAUGUUAUCACGGGAGACACACGGCGGGUGCUAACGUCCGUCGUGAA
rnacentral:rRNA from 1 species